AACCGAGUAUUUCUGACGGUAG
rnacentral:siRNA from 1 species